rnacentral:lncRNA from 1 species
UCGCUAAAGGCUAUAGCGACAGACAACCGUCGCUAUAGGUGUUCUUCAUCUCAAGAACACUGUCAGAGACAGUUCAAGGGGGCUACUUUGACCAUGAAUAACGUUUUGGUCUUAAUGAAUCUGGAAAAUCUAUGAAUUGGGUCUUGUAGAGGAAAUACCAGACUACAAUUACCAACAAUCAUAACCUCUAAAAAAACAUCAGAUCUGGGAGAAAUCGUACCUCAAAGUAGCUGUCAGAGCUGUUCUUCGUGAAGAACAGUUCGUGAUGCCUACUUUGGACCUCUAUAACUUGAUGAUCGUGAAAUGUUUACGUGAUCUAUCAAUUCCAGUGUGUAGACAACAUGUAGGACUAAAACUCCAACACUUAAAAUCAUCAUAAAAACAAUAAAUCAAGCAUCUAAAGUAUGGUCAAACCUUGUAAGAAAAAUCAACACUUCAAAAAUUCUGGGCUGUCCAGAAUUUUCCGGUCAACCCAGUUUGACCUUAAAUAACUCUUAAUCCAUAAUAUAUAUGGACCUGAUUCGUUUUGGAGAUUAAAUACCACAUAACAAGCUACACAUAACAACCUUUAGAACACAAAACACAUUAAAGAUAACCGAGAUAUAAGGCCUGACAUUUUCUAAAAUAAUAUUUUCUAGACACUUAGAAUAUUUUCUGGGUUUGAAGAACAGCCGGUCAAUGUCGGUCAACCCACUUUGACCGCUUAUAAAUCCCGAUAUACAAUAGAUAUGAACUUGAUUCCUUUUGGAGAUUAAAGACCACAUAUCAGGAUACCUAUAACAACUUUUAAACAACAAAACUCGUCAUCGAACAAAGAGUUAUAGCCUCUGACAUUUGGUGAAAAAUAACAGAAUUCGGUUUUUCCAACUUGUUUAAAUCUUCAAAUUCGUGCACUUUGAUGUUAUGGGUUCAUGAUUUUACAACCCAGAAC